UACGUAGGGCGCAAGCGUUAUCCGGAAUUAUUGGGCGUAAAGAGCUCGUAGGCGGUUUGUCGCGUCUGCUGUGAAAGACCGGGGCUCAACUCCGGUUCUGCAGUGGGUACGGGCAGACUAGAGUGCAGUAGGGGGAGACUGGAAUUCCUGGUGUAGCGGUGAAAUGCGCAGAUAUCAGGAGGAACACCGAUGGCGAAGGCAGGUCUCUGGGCUGUAACUGACGCUGAGGAGCGAAAGCAUGGGGGAGCGAACAGG
rnacentral:rRNA from 1 species